UGAAGGAUGCAGGAGGAAAGUCCGGGCAACACAGAGCACUCUGCUUCCUAACUCGAAGCCGUCUGUAAAGGUGGAUUAGUGCAGAAGAAAACAACCGCCAUUUCUGCUACUUGCAGGAAAAGGUAAGGGUGAGAAGGCGAGGUAAGAGCUCACCAGGCAUGUGGCGACACAUGUGCUGUGCACAUCAGAGGUUGAAAGUUCAUGUAUACCAGCGUCAGAGGGCUGCUCGUCCGAUGAUGAUUCCAAUCAUCUCGCUGGAGGGUAGAACGAUACAGCUUGUUGGCGACAGCAAGCGCGGAUAAAUGACAAGCGCUAUAGUUGCCCUUGGUAACUAUAAGCACAGAACCCGGCUUAUAGGCCGACUGA
rnacentral:RNase_P_RNA from 1 species